GAUGAAGAACGUAGCGGAAUGCGAUAAGUAAUGUGAAUUGCAGAAUUCAGUGAAUCAUCGAAUCUUUGAACGCACAUUGCGCCCGCCAGUAUUCUGGCGGGCAUGCCUGUCCGAGCGUCAUUUCAACCCUCGAACCCCUCCGGGGGGUCGGCGUUGGGGAUCGGCCCUGCCUCUUGGCGGUGGCCGUCUCCGAAAUACAGUGGCGGUCUCGCCGCAGCCUCUCCUGCGCAGUAGUUUGCACACUCGCAUCGGGAGCGCGGCGCGUCCACAGCCGUUAAACACCCAACUUCUGAAAUGUUGACCUCGGAUCAGGUAGGAAUACCCGCUGAACUUAAGCAUAUCAAUAAGCGGAGGA
rnacentral:misc_RNA from 1 species